rnacentral:rRNA from 1 species
CGUAGGGGGCAAGCGUUGUCCGGAUUUAUUGGGCGUAAAGCGCUCGCAGGUGGUUCGUUGCGUCGUGCGUGAAAGACCCCGGCUCAACUGGGGGGUGUCGUGCGAUACGGGCGAACUGGAGGCCAUAGGGGGGAUGCGGAAUUCCGGGUGUAGUGGUGGAAUGCGUAGAGAUCCGGAGGAACACCAGCGGCGGAGGCGGCAUCCUGGACUGGUCCUGACACUCAGGAGCGAAAGCGUGGGGAGCGAUCCGGAUUAGAUACCCGGGUAGUCCACGCUGUAAACGAUGAGUACUAGGUGUCGGGGGUAUCGACCCCCUCGGUGCCGCAGCUAACGCGAUAAGUACUCCGCCUGGGGACUACGGCCGCAAGGCUA